UACGUAGGGACCAAGCGUUGUCCGGAAUCAUUGGGCGUAAAGAGCGUGUAGGCGGCCUGUUAAGUCUUGCGUGAAAUCUCGGGGCUCAACCCCGAGCGGUCGUGAGAAACUGGCAGGCUAGAGUGCGGGAGAGGAGAGUGGAAUUCCUGGUGUAGCGGUGAAAUGCGCAGAUAUCAGGAAGAACACCCGUGGCGAAGGCGGCUCUCUGGAACGGUACUGACGCUGAGACGCGAAAGCGUGGGGAGCGAACAGG
rnacentral:rRNA from 1 species